AUGCCGCGUGUGUGAGAAGGCCUUCGGGUUGUAAAGCACUUUUGUCCGGAAAGAAAUGGCUCUGGUUAAUACCUGGGGUCGAUGACGGUACCGGAAGAAUAAGGACCGGCUAACUACGUGCCAGCAGCCGCGGUAAUC
rnacentral:rRNA from 1 species